AUUCCUUCAGCAGGAUGUACACAGAGAUAUAACUUUCUACAGCAUCCACUGCAGCUCUGGGCUCCAUUUCCCUUUGAAAUGGGAUGGGAGAAAGGGGCAGGUAACAGACUGGAGUGAGGAGACUGAGGAGAAACUGUAGAGAAUAAUACUUAGGAGUACACGUGCUGGAUUCUCUCAUUAAGAGCAGGAUGAUGUCUGAAGUGGCUGAAACACAUAUGGCUUCAGUGUGUCAAGAAGACCUGAAAGAUCCCACAUGGAAGUGAAAUUCAUUACUGGCAAGCACGGUGGCAGGAGACCCCAGAGGGCUGAGCCGCAAAGAAUUUGCAGAGCCUUAUGGCUAACUCCAUGGCCUAGUUUGAUCUUGAAGUUACUGUCUUGGAUAAUCCUCUCAAAUCUGUUCCUGCACUUAAGAGCCACUCAUCACAUGACGGAGCUCCCUCUCAGGUUCCUUUACAUCGCCCUGUCAGAAAUGACUUUCAGGGAACAGACAUCACAUCAAAUCAUCCAACAGAUGUCCCUUUCAAAUAAGUUGGAGCAGAACCAACUAUAUGGAGAAGUCAUAAACAAAGAAACAGACAACCCAGUGAUUUCCAGCGGAUUGACAUUACUCUUUGCACAGAAACCUCAGUCU
rnacentral:lncRNA from 1 species